GUUUUGAGUCAGUAAGGGCAUUUCAACUUCCAGAAAUGGUUUUAAGGGAAGAUUUUAUGGUACAUACUCACAUCAUUUAUGAGAUAUCGUAGCUGGGACGUCUGAAUAACUUCUCUAUUCAACCUUUUCCCACAUCAUGGAAUGAACCACCAGUUUUGAGUUAUUUUGCUGCUCGCUCAUAAAAUUUACGACAAAUGGUUGGUCGUGAAUGAAAAUUCGAAAA